GACGAACGCUGGCGGCGUGCUUAACACAUGCAAGUCGAACGGAAAGGCCCUGCUUUUGUGGGGUGCUCGAGUGGCGAACGGGUGAGUAACACGUGAGUAUCCUGCCCUUGACUUUGGGAUAACUUCAGGAAAAUGGGGCUAAUACCGGAUAGGAGCUCCUGCUGCAUGGUGGGGGUUGGAAAGUUUCGGCGGUUGGGGAUGGACUCGCGGCUUAUCAGCUUGUUGGUGGGGUAGUGGCUUACCAAGGCUUUGACGGGUAGCCGGCCUGAGAGGGUGACCGGCCACAUUGGGACUGAGGUACGGCCCAGACUCCUACGGGAGGCAGCAGUGGGGAAUAUUGCACAAUGGGCGGAAGCCUGAUGCAGCAACGCCGCGUGCGGGAUGACGGCCUUCGGGUUGUAAACCGCUUUCGCCGGUGACGAAGCGUGAGUGACGGUAAUGGGUAAAGAAGCACCGGCUAACUACGUG
rnacentral:rRNA from 1 species